rnacentral:rRNA from 1 species
CAAUAGCGUAUAUUAAAGUUGUUGCAGUUAAAAAGCUCGUAGUUGGAUUUCUGGGAGGGUGCCAAUGUCCGCCAUCGUGCGUGCGCAGCGGCGCCCUUCCAUCCUUCUGUUAACGCCUCUUGGCAUUCAUUUGCUGGUGGCGGGCUCAGAUAUUUUACCUUGAAAAAUUAGAGUGUUUAAAGCAGGCUAUUGCCUUGAAUACAUUAGCAUGGAAUAAUAAUCUAGGACUUCGGUUCUAUUUUGUUGGUUUCUAGUACUGAAGUAAUGAUUGAUAGGGAUAGUUGGGGGUGGCUAGUAUUGACCGGCCAGAGGUGAAAUUCUUGGAUUCGGUCAAGACUAACUUAUGCGAAAGCAUUCACCAAGGAUGUCUUCUUUAAUCAAGAACGAAAGUUGGGGGAUCGAAGACGAUCAGAUACCAU